GAUGAACGCUGGCGGCGUGCCUAAUACAUGCAAGUCGAGCGAACAGAUGAGGAGCUUGCUCCUCUGACGUUAGCGGCGGACGGGUGAGUAACACGUGGAUAACCUACCUAUAAGACUGGGAUAACUUCGGGAAACCGGAGCUAACACCGGAUAAUAUAUUGAUCCGCAUGGUUCAAUAGUGAAAGACGGUUUUGCUGUCACUUAUAGAUGGAUCCGCGCCGCAUUAGCUAGUUGGUAAGGUAACGGCUUACCAAGGCAACGAUGCGUAGCCGACCUGAGAGGGUGAUCGGCCACACUGGAACUGAGACACGGGCCAGACUCCGACGGGAGGCAGCAGUAGGGAAUCUUCCGCAAUGGGCGAAAGCCUGACGGAGCAACGCCGCGUGAGUGAUGAAGGUCUUCGGAGCGUAAAACUCUGUUAUUAGGGAAGAACAAAUGUGUAAGUAACUAUGCACGUCUUGACGGUACCUAAUCAGAAAGCCACGGCUAACUACGUG
rnacentral:rRNA from 1 species